rnacentral:lncRNA from 1 species
GACUCCUCCUAUGCACCUGCUAUCAUUUCCUUUUAUCAUCUAGCUCCCAUUCCUGUAUUUCCCCAAACACCAAAAACACAUUGCUGCUGGACAUGUUUUUUAAAAAGCAUUUUUAAAGGUUUAGCAAUAGCAGAAGAUUAUUGCCAAAAGAAAGCAGAAAAACAAGUUAAAAACAAAUAGUAGGUGUCAAUGUUGCACAAAUUUGCUAACCUGCACUGACCUAGUGUAUACAUCCAACCAACUAGUUAACCAGUUGGGCCUCAGUUCAGCAACUGAUAGGCGCAGCUGUAGCCGCUGAUGAAGGGAGGAGUGAGUUGUGAUAGAAGCCAGAUUCUCCUUCCUGGAGGAGGCGCAAGAAAUGCCAUCAGCUCCUUCGGACACUGCCGGCACUGUUUACCUAACUCCCACAACUCAGCAGGGGUAUAAGCACAAUAAAAGGUGUGUUCAGGCGGGCGCGCAUUGGCUCACGCCUGUAAUCCCAGCACUUUUGGGAGGCUGAGGCGGGCAGAUCACCUGAAGUAAGGAGUUUGAGACCAGCCUGGCCAACGUGGUGAAACCCUGUCUCUAGUAAAAAUACAAAAAUUAGCCGG